GAGGAAGAGGUUCACUUCUCACUGCUGGCUGACCCUGCCAAAGGCCUUCUGAGAAAUCUGAGAGCCAGUGAAUCUAUGACACUGGGGAGUGUUUGUAAGCAGAGCCUAUAGAAGCAAGUGAUGUACAGUAAUUUUGAGAACCCUGAAGACUGGAUUUCUUUCAUCCAAAGUAUCAGUGCCAACUUCUUUAUAUCAUUCACCACCACAAAAGUGGACCUUGCACCUGAUGUUGAAGGACUGCUCCUAUGCAUGAGAGGGUGGUUCACUCUCCACAACCCAAUUGGUCAUUGACUUCUUUGCAA